GAUGAACGCUGGCGGCGUGCCUAAUACAUGCAAGUCGAGCGAACAGACGAGGAGCUUGCUCCUCUGACGUUAGCGGCGGACGGGUGAGUAACACGUGGAUAACCUACCUAUAAGACUGGGAUAACUUCGGGAAACCGGAGCUAAUACCGGAUAAUAUAUUGAACCGCAUGGUUCAAUAGUGAAAGACGGUUUUGCUGUCACUUAUAGAUGGAUCCGCGCCGCAUUAGCUAGUUGGUAAGGUAACGGCUUACCAAGGCAACGAUGCGUAGCCGACCUGAGAGGGUGAUCGGCCACACUGGACCUGAGACACGGUCCAGACUCCUACGGGAGGCAGCAGUAGGGAAUCUUCCGCAGUGGGCGAAAGCUUGACGGAGCAACGCCGCGUGAGUGAUGAAGGUCUUCGGAUCGUAAAACUCUGUUAUUAGGGAGAACAAAUGUGUAAGUAACUAUGCACGUCUUGACGGUACCUAAUCAGAAAGCCACGGCUAACUACGUG
rnacentral:rRNA from 1 species